GAUGAACGCUGGCGGCGUGCCUAAUACAUGCAAGUCGAGCGAACAGACGAGGAGCUUGCUCCUCUGACGUUAGCGGCGGAUGGGUGAGUAACACGUGGAUAACCUACCUAUAAGACUGGGAUAACUUCGGGAAACCGGAGAUAACACCGGAUAAUAUAUUGAACCGCAUGGUUCUACAGUGAAAGAGGGUUUUGCUGUGCCUUAUAGAUGGUUCCGCGCCGCAUUAGCUAGUUGGUAAGGUAACGGCUUACCAAGGCAACGAUGCGUAGCCGACCUGAGAGGGUGAUCAGCCACACUGGAACUGAGACACGGUCCAGACUCCUACGGGAGGCAGCAGUAGGGAAUCUUCCGCAAUGGGCGAAAGCUUGACGGAGCAACGCCGCGUGAGUGAUGAAGGUCUUCGGAUCGUAAAACUCUGUUAGUAGGGAAGAACAGAUGUAUAAGUAACUAUGGACGUCUUGACGGUACCUAAACAGAAAGCCACGGCUAACUACGUG
rnacentral:rRNA from 1 species